rnacentral:rRNA from 1 species
UACGUAGGGGGCUAGCGUUAUCCAGAAUUACUGGGCGUAAAGCGCGUGUAGGCGGCUGGUUAAGUGUGAUGUGAAAUCUUCGGGCUCAACCCGAAAACUGCAUUGCAAACUGGCCUGGCUAGAGUGCAGGAGAGGGAAGCGGAAUUCCAGGUGUAGCGGUGAAAUGCGUAGAUAUCUGGAGGAACACCGGUGGCGAAGGCGGCAUCCUGGACCAACACUGACACUGAGGAGCGAAAGCCAGGGGAGCAAACGGG